rnacentral:tRNA from 1 species
GGGAAUAUAGUUAAAUAUAACAUUUGAAUUGCACUCAAAAAGUAUUGAUUUAUACUCAAUUUUUCUCA